GGGAUUGUGGCUCAGUGGUAGAGCACUUGCCUAGCAUGUGUGAGGCCCUGGGUUCAAUCCUCAGCACCA
rfam:Ictidomys tridecemlineatus contig028792, whole genome shotgun sequence.